UCUGGGAUUAGAUACCCUGUUAUUAGAAACUUAAUUUAUAAAAAAUAGAUUAGUAUUAGAUUUAUUCUUAAAAUUUAAUAAAUUUGGCGGUAUUUUAAUCUAUUCAGAGGAACUUGUUUUAUAAUUGAUAAUCCGCAUUAUAUCUUACUUAAUUUUGUAAAAUUUGUAUAUCGUCGUCAUAAGAAUUUCUUAAUAAAGAAAAAAUUUUCUAAAAUUUUAAAUAUUAAUAAUGUCAGAUCAAGGUGCAGUUUAUGGUUAAGAAAAAAUGAGUUACAAUAAAUUUAUUUAUUAUGAAUAUAAAAAUUAAAAUUUUUAUUAAAGGUGGAUUUGUUAGUAAAAUAAUUUAUUACAUUUAUUUGAUUUAAGUAAUAAAAUAUGCACAAAUCGCCCGUCACUCUCUGA
rnacentral:rRNA from 1 species